GUAGUCAUAUGCUUGUCUCAAAGAUUAAGCCAUGCAUGUCUAAGUACUUGCCGAAAUAAGGUGAACCGCGAAUGGCUCAUUAAAUCAGUUACGGUUCUAUAGAUAUUGACUAUCUACAUGGAUAACUGUGGUAAUUCUAGAGCUAAUACAUGCACAAAAGCCCUAACCUUGCGGAAGGGGCGCAUUUAUUAGAACAAGACCAAUGGGGCUCCUUGUGGGUCCUUACGUUGGUGACUCUGGAUAACUUCAGCUGAUCGCACGGCCUCCGAGCCGGCGACGAAUCUUUCAAGUGUCUGCCUUAUCAACUGUCGAUGGUAGGUUAUGCGCCUACCAUGGUUGCAACGGGUAACGGGGAAU
rnacentral:rRNA from 1 species